UACGAAGGGGGCUAGCGUUGUUCGGAUUUACUGGGCGUAAAGCGCACGUAGGCGGAUCGUUAAGUCGGGGGUGAAAUCCUGGAGCUCAACUCCAGAACUGCCUUUGAUACUGGGAAGCUUGAGUCCGGGAGAGGUGAGUGGAACUCCGAGUGUAGAGGUGAAAUUCGUAGAUAUUCGGAAGACACCAGUGGCGAAGGCGGCUCACUGGCCGUAACUGACGCUGAGGAGCGAAAGCAUGGGGAGCGAACAGG
rnacentral:rRNA from 1 species